AGGAAGAACUGAGGAAAAUUUAUGGAAAAAGAACAGAGAGAAAUGUGAACGUGACCUUUGGUUCUGAGAGGAAGAGACUCAAGGGGCAUAUCGAAAGAGAAAAAGAUGAAGAAACAGGAGGAGGUGACAAGGCUUGGAACUCUGAAAAACAAUCUUCCCGCUCACAAAUGCAAUUCCCAUCACAUAGGCAGGAAGAACUGAGGAAAAUUUAUGGAAAAAGAACAAAGAGGAAUGUGAACGUGACCUUUGGUUCUGAGGAUUCAGAGUCCAGUGAAGAAGAGGAAGGAAUCAGCGAGGAGGAGUUCAAGAGGACAGAAGGAUGGAAGCUGUUCAAGGAGGCCUUGGAUGCACACACUAAUUGCAAUAACUCAGCCAAAAAGUAGUUUACUUCUCGUAUGUUCCUUUUUAAGCUUUAUUCACGUUUGUAGCCGAGAUAGACAAAGUUUAUAUGGUUGCACAUUUUCAAAAGCAAAUUUUUAUCAAACUGCAAUUUGUAUCAUAAACUUCUUUUUUAUUUAAAUAAUUAUGACUUUGUAAACCUUUUAUAGGAUUUCCUUUUUUAACCUACCAGCGUUUUUGUAAGUAUUUUGGAUGAAUACAUGACUGUACUAUUCAAACAUUGUGACAAUGUACAUUUGCACAGUGGAACCCCGUCAAUACGGCCACUAACGGGCCAUGGAAAUUUAGCAAAUUUAAAAUUAAGCAGAAUUUAAAUUUAAAGUAAAUUUAAACUUAACUUAACUUGUAUGGGCGCCCGUUUCGUCGAGACAAAAAAGUGGCUGUAUUAACGAGGUGGCCGUAAGGCGGGGUUCCACUGUAUUUCAUACGUUUCAUUACACUGAUAAUGGCCAUUUAAGUUGUUAUACCCAUAAUUUUGAAGAACUGUUGGGGGAAAGGGGUUGUGACUGAAAUAGAUAUUCUAAAAUCAAGAAUCCACUGGGGGCCGGGAACCAAAAAAUAAAACUACGUGGAAACCAUGCACAUUUUACAGUUUUUAUAAGCCUUGUUUACAAUCUUUUCUUGCCCAUGUAGACUUAU